GAUGAAGAACGUAGCGAAAUGCGAUAAGUAAUGUGAACUGCAGAAUUCAGUGAAUCAUCGAAUCUUUGAACGCACAUUGCGCCCAUUAGUAUUCUAGUGGGCAUGCCUGUUCGAGCGUCAUUAAGUCCACUUAAGCCCUGCUUAGUGUUGGGAGACUGCUCCAGCGGUGCUACCCUGUAGCUACCCUGCAGCUCCUCAAAGACAGCGGCGGAGUUGUGGUAUCCUCUGAGCUUAGUAACUUGUUCUAGCUUUCGAGUACACCACUUCCCCUGCCGUAAAACCCUUAAUUUUUAAUGGUUGACCUCGGAUCUGGUAGGAAUACCCGCUGAACUUAAGCAUAUCAAUAAGCGGAGGA
rnacentral:misc_RNA from 1 species